rnacentral:rRNA from 1 species
GACGAACGCUGGCGGCGUGCUUAACACAUGCAAGUCGAACGGUGAAGGGGUCUGCUUUUGUGGGCCCUGGAUGAGUGGCGAACGGGUGAGUAACACGUGAGUAACCUGCCCCCUUCUUCUGGAUAACCGCAUGAAAGUGUGGCUAAUACGGGAUAUUCUGGGUCUGUCGCAUGAUGGGUCUGGGAAAGAUUGCGCCUUUGGGUGUUUUUGGUGGGGGAUGGGCUCGCGGCCUAUCAGCUUGUUGGUGGGGUGAUGGCCUACCAAGGCGGUGACGGGUAGCCGGGCUGAGAGGGUGGACGGUCACACUGGGACUGAGACACGGCCCAGACUCCUACGGGAGGCAGCAGUGGGGAAUAUUGCACAAUGGGCGCAAGCCUGAUGCAGCGACGCCGCGUGAGGGAUGGAGGCCUUCGGGUUGUAAACCUCUUUCGCCAGUGAAGCAGGCCUGCUCCUUGUGGGUGGGUUGACGGUAGCUGGAGAAGAAGCGCCGGCUAACUACGUG